rnacentral:rRNA from 1 species
CCGAGUGGUGUGGAUGUUUAUUGGGCCUAAAGCAUCCGUAGCUGGCUAAGUUAGUCCCUUGUUAAAUCCACCGAAUUAAUCGUUGGAUGCGGGGGAUACUGCUUAGCUAGGGGACGAGAGAGGCAGACGGUAUUUCCGGGGUAGGGGUGAAAUCCUAUAAUCCCGAGAAGACCACCAGUGGCGAAGGCUGUCGG